CUUCCAGUGUCCUGAUGUCAAGGUGAAUGGGGUCAAUAGAGAGAGCAGCUGGUAGGAGCCAGUCUUUAGCUGAUUUCCUCCUCGAGUUGUGGGGGCUGCUGCCAAGUCAUUCGUCUCACCCUGUGUGUCUGUUAUAAUGUUGCAAAAGAAAACAGAAGUUUAUGUCCAUGCUGCAGAUAUAAAGGAUGAAGUUGUAGGGCAGGAAGUCUUAUGUAACUUGGAGCAGCUACUCAAUGGAAAUCACAAACAGAAUGAGUUUCAUCCACAUGUCAAGACACUACUACCAACAGAGCUAUUUCAGGACACCUACCUAAAUAACUAGCUGUCUCUUCCACUUAAAGCAAGACAUGAGAUCUCACCAUUUUAUUGCCUAGGCUGGAGUGCAAUGUUGUGAUCCUAGCUCACUGCAGCCUUGAACUCCUGGGCUCAAGUGACCCUCUCUCCUCAGUCUCCUGAGUAGCUG
rnacentral:lncRNA from 1 species